GCCGGUUUAGCUCAGCAGGAAGAGCGGCUGCCUUGUAAGCAGCAGGACGCUGGUUCGAAGCCAGCAGCCGGCACCA
rnacentral:tRNA from 1 species